AGUGAACGCUGGCGGUAGGCCUAACACAUGCAAGUCGAACGGCAGCACAGUAAGAGCUUGCUCUUACGGGUGGCGAGUGGCGGACGGGUGAGGAAUACAUCGGCAUCUACUUUUUCGUGGGGGAUAACGUAGGGAAACUUACGCUAAUACCGCAUACGACCUCCGGGUGAAAGCAGGGGAUCUUCGGACCUUGCGCGAUUGCAUGAGCCCAUGUCGGCUUAGCUAGUUGGAGGGGGAAAGGCCCACCAAGGCGACGAUCCGUAGCUGGUCUGAGAGGGUGAUCGGCCACACUGGAUCUGAGCCACGGUCCAGACUCCUCCGCGAGGCCGCAGUGGGGAAUAUUGGACCGUGGGCGCGAACCUGAUCCAGCCAUACCGCGUGGGUUGAGACGGCCUUCCGGUUGUGAAGCCCGUUUGUUGGGAGAGAAAAUCAGCAUGUUGGUACGCAGCUGUUGUGACGGUACCCACAGAAUAAGCACCGGCUAACUACGUG
rnacentral:rRNA from 1 species